rnacentral:misc_RNA from 1 species
UUCCCCUCCUUCAAUUAUCACUGAAGGCUCUCAAGGAGGCCCAUGGAGAAAGAAAGUUACUGAUUUUGAUGGAACUGAGGAUGAAAAGGACUUCCCUUGGUGGUGUAUAGAUUGCGUACAGCAUAAUCGCCUCCCUCCAAGAGAAAAUACCAAGUGCAGCUUUUAUCUGCAUCCUUGCGAAGGCUCAGCUGUCCAGAUCCUCACACAAGGCAAACUAAGUGCACCCCGCAUACUGAGAAUACAUAAAGUUGUCAAUUAUGUCAUAGAAAAGAU